UGAAUUUCUAACAUGGAUAUUGUCUGGAAAAGUUCUACGCAUUCAUCUAGUAGUAACUUUUCUUGUGAAACCACCUCUGCUAGCUGAGAAACUAAUUCAGCACUCUUCUCUGCAAAGGGUGAAAAGCUAACCAAUGAUGACUUGAUAGAAGCUGUGAGAUCAGAUGCAUGUCGAAGUGCGAUGGAAGUCAAUUGUGGAUCCACCUUUGCACCUUCAAUAAGUGGUAUUCUACAAACA
rnacentral:misc_RNA from 1 species